UAAGGAGGGGGAUGAGGGG
rnacentral:miRNA from 1 species